AGAAGUUUAUUUUACCUAGAAUUAAUGACAGGAAAACCCCAUAAACGUGGUGCAAAAUGUUUAAUGCCCCAUUGAAUGUCAACAUUAUGCCAUCCAUCUGUCCUUGCAGGUGUAUUAUUUCUAGUCCCCAGGAUGAAAAGAAAAGUUGCUUUUCACGUCUUUUAUAGUACUUAAAAAUACAUAUUUCCAAGGCUUUAUUGCCAAAGGUCCUGCUUUCUUCCAGAACCCACAAUAACUAAUCAUGUCACUGCCACCAAGUCUAGGAAUUGGAAUUAAUAGUUGGUUGGGGGGGUUGCUCCCAUCCUAUGAGUGAUCUUUGCUUUAACGACCCUUAGAGUUAGUGAUUUCUCCUAAAUAUUUAUUUCUCCCUAAGGGAAAGAUUUCUCUAAGAACAUUCUCUCUGCCCUAAAUAUUCACAAUUCUCAAUCUGUUUUUCUUCUAUUUGUCCACUUAGAGUUUUUGCUGGAAUCAAUUUUAUUAAUUUCCUUCUGAAAAUUAACAAGUCAAAGUAAAUCACAGGGAGCUUUUUCCUCUCCACCAUAUGACUCUCUUCACUUUCUCGGUUUUUCUCUCAAUGCUAGGUCACCAUGGCCUGGAUUUACUCUAAUUUCUGUCCAGAACUUUCCUGGAGAUUCACUUUGAGGCACUCUGUGGACUUGCGUUUUCUCAUUGGCUGUUCUGGUGGCAGUCGGCUUGUUAACUGACUUUUAUCGUUUGUUUUCACAACAACCUUCUGACUCCUUAGAGCAAAUUGCAAGGCAAAACAUGUUAUCCAAUUGGCAGUUAGGAAAUCCAGAUCCCGGGCCCCAGAGGGAAGGCCAACUCCUUAAUUCCAGCCUGAUGAUGGGAAAGAAGUCAUCAGGAGGUUAAGUGACUUAUGCAAUUGGAUGGAGCAAGCCAGCGUCCACAACAGGAUCCUGGACACUCAGUCCCUGCCUCUUCGGACAGCGUUCAACUCUCCCAGCCGCACUUCUUCCCUGAAUGCUUUUUAAUCUGGCAUGAUCCACAAAUAAAGGAAAUUGUGGUUUUCACAUCAUGAUGGAGGUUAUUUUUCCA
rnacentral:lncRNA from 1 species